CAGAACAUGUGAAUAUGCCUCUGUAUCAGAGUCUGCAACACUUUAACUAGAAAGUUAUUCUUCUCUUGUUGCAGGUAAAGUGAGCCACUGCUACCACCUUCAAUUUCAUUGCUGAACGACAUCUCAGCUGGCAACAGCUUACCUCAUAUCCCUUCAACAUCUCUUCACUGAGAAACACAGGGCUACUGCACAGUACUUCCAUCUGGAUGGAUUCAACAGGCGACUUAUCGUAAUGGACCGUACAAGUUUGCACUGACCAGUAAUACUACCAUC